UAAAAUGGCUACAUGGAAUUGAAGUAUUAUCAAUUAUUUACACAUCCUAAUAUUAUUUAAAAUACAUUUUAAAAACAUAUUGUUAUUUAGUCUAGGAGUUGACUUUGAGUCUAAAAAGACCAAGUUGUAAAAAGAUUGCAGGGACCUAAUUUUACAUAGCAUUAAAUGAGUAAGUAAUUGAAAAAUCUAUCUUCACGAGGUAAAGAGCUACGGAUGAGAGAGAAAAUCAAUUCUAUUCAAAAGAAGGUAAGUCAGAGGAACCACACUGGCAAUCAUGGGGUGCAUGCACCUCUGUGCUCCCUUCUUCUCUCCUCUUGGACCAGAAAGGAGGCAAACCAAGCACCCUUGGUCCCCAGAAGACCAAUUCUGUGAGUCUAGAGACAAAGGCAACCUUCCGGCCUCAGCAUGUCCAGCGCUCCUAGGGACAAGGGAUGGCGCCACCUCACCACAAGGGGACCCCUUGAAGCAACAGCCGAGGUGCCCAUGAGGAGGUCGUGUUGGGACACCAGCGGGGAGCAGGGCUAUCCCUGAGUGCCCUCCUCAGGGCGAGUAGAUGCCUGGCAUGCUCCACCCUGUGGCUCAACCUGCACCUGGUCACUCGACUGCUCUCAGACCGUGAGCUCACAGGAUACUUAACCAGUGGCCCAGGAUCUAAUGAGGAGUUUGGCCCCACUUCCAGAAGAAGGAGGCGGCAAUGUGGAAGAUACAAAUGGAGGCUGACAUGCAUACUCAGCAUGGAGGCGGGACUGGACCAGCGUAUCUAGGCUGUAUGGAAAAGUCAAGUGAGCUGUUGUGCACCCUGAGCAGUGAGCGUGGCACCACCAAACUCCUUCUCCAGGAACUACACUCAGCAUCAAGCAGCCAGAGCUUUGAACUGUGUCUGUGAGCAUCUGCUGUAUCUCCAUUUACUUUGUGCAUCUGUUAGUAAGAUGUCUUCUAAGGUAAUUGCUUUUUGGCUUUAUGUCAUUUUGACAUAUGAAAGGUUUUAAAGGCUCUACUUUCCAACAGUAGGGGAAACCUGUGUUGGAAAAACCUCAUUUUUUUUCCUUCCUAAAACCCAGUUCUUCCAUACUAUGUCUUUUUUACCUGUGUCCCCUUUACUUCUCACACAGCACAUUUCACUUCUGACUCUUCUAGUCUCCAAAUGUGUGGAGGUUUUCUCCAUAUCAAACAAUUCUGUGCAACAUCAGUUGGGUGUCCUAGAAUUUAAUUGAAUUCUGACACUGUACGCAGAGAUAGUGUCAGAUUUCUCAGGUUAAGGGCUUAGUCCCACAAGACUGUGUCACCCACCCCCCACUUCAGAUGCCAAUUGCAAGCCCAAGUUAUCACCUAUACUUCUGACAACCAGUUAUAGAUCACAGGUUCCAAUAACCCCCUUCUUGGGUUUGAUUAAUUUGCUACAGCAGCUCACAUACUCAGGAAAACACUUACUUAGGUUUAUUAAAGGAUAUGAUAAAGGAUACAGAUGAAUAUCCAGUUGGGAGAGAUGUGUCGGGCAAGGUAUGUGGGAAGGGGUGCGGAGCUUCCAUGCCCUCCAUGGGAGUGCCACGCGCCCAGCACCUCCGUGUUCACCCAACCCAGAACCUCUCCAAACCCCAUACUUUUGGAAUUGUAGGGAGGCAUGAUGGAUCAUUAAUUUCAUUUUCAGCCCUUCUCCUUUCUCAAGAGAAUGGGGAGGGGCUGAAAAUUCUAAGCCUGGUCUUUCCAGUGACCAGCCCUCAUCCAGCAGCCAACCCAGUCAUCUCAUUAAAACAAAAAAUACUACUAUUGCCCAGGAAAUUACAAGAGUUUCAGGAAACCAGUGUCAGAAACUGGGAUCAAAGACUGAAAAGGGGUUCCUGAACUUAAUUUGUGUAUGUGUGUGUGUGUGUGUGUGUGUGUGUGUGUGUACACCUGCAAUCAAUUCUUGGAAAUCAGCAGGGUGUCCAAGAAUUCACCUCAAUUCUGACCCUAUCUAGAGACAAAAUCAGAUUCCAUAGGUAAGGGUCUCAGUCCCACAAGAGGCCAAGUCUCCACUUCAGAUGCCAAUCCCAAGCCCAGGUUUUUACCUGUGCUUCUGAUCUACAGCCUACAAAUCCUAGGUUCCCACAACCCCCUGUUUGGGUUUGAUUAAUUUGCUAGAACAGUUCACAGAACUCAAAAACCCCUGUGUACUCACUAGAUUACUGAUUUAUUACAAAGAAUAUUAAAGGAUACAAAUAAACAGCCAAAUGAAGAAAUACAUAGGGAGAGGUCUCAAAUGAAGAAGCUCCUAUUCUUGUGGAGCUCGGGGCCAGCAUGACGGCACAUGGAAGCUUUCUGGUUCCCCAACGCAGACGCUCUCUGUAAAAAGGUCAAUGAGCUGUCCUUUUGGGUUUUUAUGGCGGCUUCAUUACUUAGUCAUAAAUUGUUGGCCAUUGGUGAUUGAGUCUACCUCCCCUCCCUGGAAAUCAAGGGGUGGGACUGAAAGUUCCAAUCCUCUAAUCACAUUGUUUGGCUCCUACUGACAACCAGCCCCUAGCCUUAGGUGCUUUCCAACAGUCAUUUCAUUAACUUAACCAAAGACACCUCCAUCACUUUCAACACUUAGGAAAUUCCAAGGGUUUAGG